UGCGUAGGCGGAAUAUUAAGUCAGUGGUGAAAUCCUGCGGCUCAACCGUAGAACUGCCAUUGAUACUGAUAUUCUUGAAUGUAGUUGAGGUAGGCGGAAUGUGUAAUGUAGCGGUGAAAUGCUUAGAUAUUACACAGAACACCGAUUGCGAAGGCAGCUUACUAAACUAUGAUUGACGCUGAUGCACGAAAGCGUGGGGAGCGAACAGGAUUAGAUACCCGAGUAGUCC
rnacentral:rRNA from 1 species